GAUGAAGAACGUAGCGAAAUGCGAUAAGUAAUGUGAAUUGCAGAAUUCAGUGAAUCAUCGAAUCUUUGAACGCACAUUGCGCCCCCUGGUAUUCCGGGGGGCAUGCCUGUCCGAGCGUCAUUACAACCCUCAAGCUCAGCUUGGUGUUGGGCCCCGCCGCCCCGGCGGGCCCUAAAGUCAGUGGCGGUGCCGUCCGGCUCCGAGCGUAGUAAUUCUUCUCGCUCUGGAGGUCCGGUCGUGUGCUCGCCAGCAACCCCCAAUUUUUUUCAGGUUGACCUCGGAUCAGGUAGGGAGACCCGCUGAACUUAAGCAUAUCAAUAAGCGGAGGA
rnacentral:misc_RNA from 1 species